UACAGAGGUCUCAAGCGUUGUUCGGAUUCAUUGGGCGUAAAGGGUGCGUAGGUGGCGAGGUUAGUCAGGUGUGAAAUCUCGGGGCUCAACCCCGAAACUGCACUUGAUACUGCCAUGCUAGAGUACUGGAGAGGAGAUUGGAAUUUACGGUGUAGCAGUGAAAUGCGUAGAUAUCGUAAGGAAGACCAGUGGCGAAGGCGAAUCUCUGGACAGUUACUGACACUGAGGCACGAAGGCCAGGGGAGCAAACGGG
rnacentral:rRNA from 1 species